UCAGGUCCUGUCUCAAGACCUGUUGGUUGAAACAAAGGAAGCUGUUUCAAGAUUUAGGAGAUUGGUGUCUUUGCUCGGCAACAGUAUUGGCCAUGGAAGAGUUAGGAUGGUGCACAAAGUCCAAUACCCUACCAAUCAUAAAAUCUUCUCAGACAAUCAUUCAGUAUUGCAAAUAGACCUUGCUCCCAACCCACUCCAACUCCUCCCAAGAAAUAUCAUAGAGAACAAUAUACAAGUAUUAGAUUCAAGUGCUAAAAACCCA
rnacentral:lncRNA from 1 species